CUCGGUGCAGCUCGCUGUGUCUGUCCGCUCAGUGCGAUGAGAAGCAGUGGUCGGAGCGGAGGGGGUCCUGGCAGUGCCCGGCUCUAUGGAGGCAGCUGAGGAUGGUGUGCACCAGGAAAACCAAACCGCUGGUGUCCACCUGUGUCAUCCUGAGCGGGAUGAGUAACAUCCUGUGCCUGCUCUAUGUGGGCUGGGUGACCAACUACAUGGCCGGCCUCUAUGUGGCCCCUGACAGCACCAAACUGGAGCCCGAGGAUAAGGGGGACACCCUGAGGAUUAUAGAGAGGCUGGAGUGGCUGGAGAGUGUCAUCAACCAGCACAUCCAAGAGACUCCACAGAAGAGCAGU